GACAGAGGGGGCAAGCGUUGCUCGGAAUCACUGGGCGUAAAGGGCGCGUAGGCGGGAUGGCAAGUCGGUCGUGAAAUCUCUCGGCUCAACCGAGAAACGUCGGCCGAUACUGCCGUUCUUGAGGGAUGCAGAGGAGACUGGAAUUCCCGGUGUAGCGGUGAAAUGUGUAGAGAUCGGGAGGAACACCAAUAGCGAAGGCAGCUCGCUGGGACGGUACUGACGCUAAGGCGCGAAAGCGUGGGGAGCAAACAGG
rnacentral:rRNA from 1 species